GGGCGUGUGGCGGAAUUGGCAGACGUGCUAGACUUAGGAUCUAGUGGGGUAACCCGUGGAGGUUCGAGUCCUCUCACGCCCACCA
rnacentral:tRNA from 1 species